rnacentral:rRNA from 1 species
UACGGGGGGAGCAAGCGUUGUUCGGAUUUACUGGGCGUAAAGGGCGCGUAGGCGGCACCGCAAGCCGACUGUGAAAUCUCCGGGCUUAACCCGGAAAGGUCAGCCGAUACUGCGGGGCUAGAGUGCAGAAGGGGCAACUGGAAUUCUCGGUGUAGCGGUGAAAUGCGUAGAUAUCGAGAGGAACACCUGCGGCGAAGGCGGGUUGCUGGGCUGACACUGACGCUGAUGCGCGAAAGCUAGGGGAGCGAACAGG